AUCGCUUCUCGGCCUUUUGGCUAAAUCAAGUGUAGU
rnacentral:snRNA from 1 species